AGGCUUUGAUCCUGGCUCAGGAUGAACGCUGGCGGCGUGCCUAACACAUGCAAGUCGAGCGGAGUUUAUUAAAGGAAGUCUUCGGGUGGAAUUUAAUAAACUUAGCGGCGGACGGGUGAGUAACGCGUGGGCAACCUGCCCUGUACAGAGGGAUAACAACGGGAAACCGUUGCUAAUACCUCAUAAAACCCUAAAGGGGCAUCCCUUAUGGGUCAAAGAAUUUCGGUACAGGAUGGGCCCGCGUCUGAUUAGCUAGUUGGUGAGGUAAUGGCUCACCAAGGCGACGAUCAGUAGCCGACCUGAGAGGGUGAUCGGCCACACUGGAACUGAGACACGGUCCAGACUCCUACGGAAGGCAGCAGUGGGGAAUAUUGCACAAUGGGCGAAAGCCUGAUGCAGCAACGCCGCGUGAGCGAUGAAGGCCUUCGGGUCGUAAAGCUCUGUCCUAAGGGAAGAAAUUUGACGGUACCUUAGGAGGAAGCCCCGGGUAAAA
rnacentral:rRNA from 1 species